rnacentral:tRNA from 1 species
ACUUGAAUAGCUUAUUGUUUAGAGCGCGACACUGAAGAUGUCGAUGAGGUAUAUAUUGCCUUUAAGUA